ACAAACAGAAUCGCAUUUCUUGAUCUAUCCUCAAUCCACUUGCGUACUUUCUGUCACUGCUCAACUACCACCACCACCCCGCCCACCCCCCUUCACCCUUCCGUCUGUCUCUUGCCAGGAAAACGACAUGGACAAAGGUUUUUCACCCGCUCUCUCUUUUCAGAGUUUUAUUCAGCUCUUCCGUGGCAGUAAAUGUGUGACCGGGCCUUUCUCAGCAUUUCAGGAAAUUCCUCUUUCUGCCAAGGUCAUGCCUAGUAAAGACGCACAUAAAGACACUCACACACACUUCCCCAUACAUACACAACCGCUCAGCUGGUUCUCCACAUCCCCACUGCUGCUUGCUUUUCCUUUUUGGCAUUCAAGGCUGAUCUUUUUUAGCGAACCCGAGAAGCGGUGGGAGCCAGCAGAGGAAGAAUCCUUUUCAUCCGGUCUUUAGGGGAAACGAGCAGGAACAUCACAAAGCGCGACGCUGACAAAAGACUCCACAGGUGGCUGUACUGAUGAUGCCUGCGAUAGCUUGGAAAGAGAGAGCAUCAUAUACAUGAUUACCUGACCCCAACAACACCCAAGGUCUUUCCUGAGGCGCCACCCGCCUUGUCUGGUGAGUGAGCUGGAGUACUGUAGGUCAGUAGCAGCAACAGCAACCAUGCCGGGUAGUGCUGGGGACAACAUGGACCCGAUGCCCUUCUUGACCCCUUCCCCGUAAUCACCUAAGAGUCAAAGUGUUACUCUUUGCAUCUAAAAUCUGAAUGCCAAUUACGUAAGUACUCUACCACCAAGUUCCAAGCCAGCGAUAUGCCCAACCUCACGUUUUUCAACAUGAGAAUCUAUGUAAGAAAAGCCCUCGUAGUAGAAACAGAGGCUACAACGUUGAAUGUUGUACCUUGAAUUCAUCCAUUUUCCCCGUCAGCCGCAUACCUACCUCUGUUGAGCCAAGAUUUAUGUUGACGCUUGUAUUAUUCAUUGGAAUGGCCCUUUGUGCUCGUCCCUCCUUUUAGACCGAAUAUGGUGCGUUCUGUGUGUGACUAUCAACCCAUAAUGGCUGCCCACCUAUGACCCAAAUGUACAAGCGGAAGAAAGGCAACAGAGUUCCUCCCUCUUCUCCAUCUCCCACAAUGGCGCCAUGACACGAUAACAAUAUGAACGCAAGAUAAAUCUUUCCACUAUAAAUGUGACCUACAUCUUGUACAACUGAAUUCUCCUUUUUUUUGGGGGGGGGGGGGUGCGUGAGAUGCUGGUACCUUCUUCAGACACAGCACAGGGACACCAUUCAAAGUCACAUGUUUUUGUGGGUUGGCUACAGGAAGUGUCUGCAUGGCUCCUUCACACCACACCACACUGACUCACUAUUGGCCAUUAAGAAACAAAGCUCUAUUCCGAGAAUCGUUUGUCCAGGUGCAAAAAAUGCCUUCAAGGUUUUCUUGUUUUGGCCUCAUGCUCAUCUUAAAAUUGUAUUUUGUGUUUCACAUGUGCAGCCGUCAUCCAACUCGGAUCUGGGGUGAAGUUGGACAAGAUAAGAUGAAGGGCAGCAUCAUUUCAAGUAUAUGUGAUGAUACGAUGAUUCCGCUGUUCCUGAGUGGUCAAAAUCAGUUAAUGUUGGUUCUCUUCUCCUUUAAAUAUUUGUUCUUUUGUCAUACCUGAUUUAUGUAAAGGAUAUUUGGUUCAAUGUUUUUUUU